rnacentral:rRNA from 1 species
GCAGCUACCAUGCAGUCGAGCGGCAGCGCGGGGGAAGCUUGCUCUCCCCGCUGACGAGCGGCGGACGGGUGAGUAAUGUCUGGGGAUCUGCCUGAUGGAGGGGGAUAACUACUGGAAACGGUAGCUAAUACCGCAUAACGUCGCAAGACCAAAGUGGGGGACCUUCGGGCCUCACGCCAUCGGAUGAACCCAGAUGGGAUUAGCUAGUAGGUGGGGUAACGGCUCACCUAGGCGACGAUCCCUAGCUGGUCUGAGAGGAUGACCAGCCACACUGGAACUGAGACACGGUCCAGACUCCUACGGGAGGCAGCAGUGGGGAAUAUUGCACAAUGGGGGAAACCCUGAUGCAGCCAUGCCGCGUGUGUGAAGAAGGCCUUCGGGUUGUAAAGCACUUUCAGCGGGGAGGAAGGCGGUAAGGUUAAUAACCUUACCGAUUGACGUUACCCGCAGAAGAAGCACCGGCUAACUCCGUGCCAGCAGA